AACGAACGCUGGCGGCAGGCUUAACACAUGCAAGUCGAACGGGCGCGAGCAAUCGCGUCAGUGGCAGACGGGUGAGUAACACGUGGGAACCUUCCUAGGGGUACGGAACAACUCAGGGAAACUUGAGCUAAUACCGUAUACGUCCGUAAGGAGAAAGAUUCAUCGCCCCUAGACGGGCCCGCGUCGGAUUAGCUAGUUGGUGGGGUAACGGCCUACCAAGGCGACGAUCCGUAGCUGAUCUGAGAGGAUGAUCAGCCACACUGGGACUGAGACACGGCCCAGACUCCUACGGGAGGCAGCAGUGGGGAAUCUUGGACAAUGGGCGCAAGCCUGAUCCAGCCAUGCCGCGUGAGUGAAGAAGGCCUUAGGGUUGUAAAGCUCUUUUACCAGGGACGAUAAUGACGGUACCUGGAGAAUAAGCCCCGGCAAACUUCGUGCCA
rnacentral:rRNA from 1 species